GCCCCUCCUCCGGCCGCGCGGCGAGGUUAAAGGCGGAAACCGGCCAGGCCAGACGGCAUCUGGGGUCAGGCGGCCCCGCGAGGAGGCCGCGGAGGCUGCGGCUCCGCGCACACAAAGCCCAGGCCGGGCCUGGACCGGGCGGGCGGACCGCAGGAGAGCCAGCGCUUCCUUACUCGCUGCUCUAACGGGUGCUGCCCACUGAGCAUGCCCAGCUCCGCGGCCAGGCCCGCCGGGGACUCGCAACGUGCGCGCUCCGCUCUCCGGGGUUUCGAGGCAGCGGCGGCGGGGAGGGGCGGGCUCCGGGAGCGGACGCAGCCGCAGGGCAAACCCCCACCCCACCCCCGCCAAUUCCUUAAAAGAGCGCCACCGGGGGUAGCCAGAUGGUGCUUUCCACCUGCGAAGUCCAGCUCGCACCUCCCUCCCCGCAUCAAACAGGAAUCCUCAGGAAUUCGCACCCCCGAGGUUUACUACUAGAGCCGCAAGUCUAGCCACGCUGGGACGUUCAUUUGUACCGGUCAAAGUGAGCAGGCCCCCUACCCAAAAAAAGGACUGGCUGGUGUUUUAUUGUAAAAAGCAGCAAUGAAGUAGAACAAAUACUUCUCACUCAGCUAUAAGCAACAUAUUGGUAAAAGUGGGUUUCAAUGCCCAUUCAAGCACUUACCAAUGUGGUCUUCACCAAGUCACUUAUCCUCUCCAAAUCUGUUUCCUCAUCUGCAAAACGGGAAUAACAAUAUCUACUUUGCAGAGCUGCUAUAUUAGAAAUAAUUUAAGUAAAAUAGCACUGCGACUGACACGUAGAAUUGCAAUGAUAGCUAUUAUUACCAUAAAGGUUGAUAGCAAGGGAGGAUAUUAUACACCCUCUGCAGUACUUAUACCAGUAACCCAACUUUAUUGUGCAUUAGAAUCAUUAUAGUUGUUGAAAACUGUAGAAACCCAGAUUCCACCCUCCAUGAGGUACAGGGAAAAUGCAGAAAAAAACUGAGUUUUUUAAUAUUAUAUUAGAUUCUGAUGUAUUUUCAUGCUGUUGUAAAAAAAACUGCAGCGUUCUAUGAUAAAAAAAAAUGUCAUAAAAGUUAUGGAACCACGUGAAUUACUUAGCAUAUAGAACAAAAACUACUUUACAGUAAUGACAUUUAACAGUUUAUUUUGAAGGUCAUUUUAAAAACAAAGUUAAAGACAAUCUGAGAAAAAAUUGCACAUAAUACACUCUUUAAAUAUAAGUAUGGUGAUUAAAUCAAAAUAAGGGAAAUAUGUUUUCUUCUGCAACUCCAAGAACAAGUUGUUGUCCUGAAGGUUCUUAUA